UUUUCCAUUCCCUGUUUGAUGCUAUCGUUUCGUUUCAUUUUGCAUCAAUUGUACAAUGCUCUGAGUGUCAGAUCUAAAAUCAAUUUCCUUCUCAUUGCGAUUCCAUUUUAACUUAACCAAUGCAAAUUUAAGUUGAAAUUUAAAAGAUACGUUUUGCGUAAAGUGCAAAAUUAAAGGCAAAUGUCUGCAACCUUCAGCCAAUGACAGUCAACCUUCAGACUGAAAAAUACUCGUACUUAACACAGACUAACACAAAUUACACAUACAUUAUGCAAAUGCAGAGCGGCAAAACUUUUUAGCUGUCUCCGAGUGCAAUUUAAUGACGAUAAGGCAAAAAAAAGGCAGAGUGCAAUUUGAAUUUAAUGUGUGCGGCGAGAUAGAAAAUUAAAUUAUGCUCGUUCUAGAGAGCAAAAAGGUCAUCGCUGCAAGCAAAACACAAAAGUUAAUUCUACACAAAUUUAAUGAGCAAUUUUUUGAUUUAAUUUAAUUUAAAAAUGUUUGGUAUGUUGAAUACCGGAUUUACUUUGCCACAUUUGCAGUCUGAUUACAGCCAUUCAUAUUCUCUUUGUGUUAAGCUUUAUCUGCAUUAAUAAAAUUAAAUUGAUACAAGCCAA